rnacentral:sRNA from 1 species
AAUAUAUAAAUAUAAACGCUUACAAAUUAUUUUUAGGGGGAAAUUAAAAUGGGAAUCAUUGUAUGCCAAUCAUGUGAAGCUACGAUCGAACAUGUAGAAGAUGAAAAGGUUACGGUUCUCUACUCAACAUGUGAACAUUGUCAGCACGAAGAGGAAGAAUAAUGGUCAAUGUCUCAACGGCUUAUAGCCGCUUUU